rnacentral:rRNA from 1 species
UACAGAGGUCCCAAGCGUUGUUCGGAUUCAUUGGGCGUAAAGGGUGCGUAGGUGGUGGGGUAAGUCGGAUGUGAAAGCUCGGAGCUCAACUCCGAAAUGGCAUUGGAAACUACCCUGCUAGAGGAUUGGAGGGGGGACUGGAAUACUUGGUGUAGCAGUGAAAUGCGUAGAUAUCAAGUGGAACACCAGUGGCGAAGGCGAGUCCCUGGACAAUUCCUGACACUGAGGCACGAAAGCUAGGGGAGCAAACAGG